AGAGUUUGAUCCUGGCUCAGGACGAACGCUGGCGGCGUGCUUAACACAUGCAAGUCGAACGGUGAAGUCCCUUCGGGGGCGGAUCAGUGGCGAACGGGUGAGUAACACGUGGGCAAUCUGCCCCUCACUGUGGGAUAACUCCGGGAAACCGGGGCUAAUACCGCAUAUGAAGUCUGGCGGCAUCGCCGGGUUUGGAAAGUUUUUCGGUGAGGGAUGAGCCCGCGGCCUAUCAGCUUGUUGGUGAGGUAAUGGCUCACCAAGGCGACGACGGGUAGCCGGCCUGAGAGGGCGACCGGCCACACUGGGACUGAGACACGGCCCAGACUCCUACGGGAGGCAGCAGUGGGGAAUAUUGGGCAAUGGGCGAAAGCCUGACCCAGCGACG
rnacentral:rRNA from 1 species